UACGUAGGAGGCAAGCGUUGUCCGGAAUUAUUGGGCGUAAAGCGCGCGCAGGCGGCCUUUUAAGUCUGAUGUGAAAGCCCACGGCUCAACCGUGGAAGGUCAUUGGAAACUGAAAGGCUUGAGUACAGAAGAGGAAAGCGGAAUUCCACGUGUAGCGGUGAAAUGCGUAGAGAUGUGGAGGAACACCAGUGGCGAAGGCGGCUUUCUGGUCUGUAACUGACGCUGAGGCGCGAAAGCGUGGGGAGCAAACAGG
rnacentral:rRNA from 1 species